rnacentral:rRNA from 1 species
AGUGAACGCUGGCGGUAGGCCUAACACAUGCAAGUCGAACGGCAGCACAGUAAGAGCUUGCUCUUACGGGUGGCGAGUGGCGGACGGGUGAGGAAUACAUCGGAAUCUACUUUUUCGUGGGGGGUAACGUAGGGAAACUUACGCUAAUACCGCAUACGACCUACGGGUGAAAGCAGGGGAUCUUCGGACCUUGCGCGAUUGAAUGAGCCGAUGUCGGAUUAGCUAGUUGGCGGGGUAAAGGCCCACCAAGGCGACGAUCCGUAGCUGGUCUGAGAGGAUGAUCAGCCCCACCGGAACUGAGACACGGUCCCGACUCCUAAGGGAGGGAGCAGUGGGAAAUAUUGGACGAUGGGAGCAAGCCUGCUCCAGCCAUACCGCGCAGGUGAAGAAGGCCGUCAGGUUGUAAAGCCCUUUUGUUGCGAACGAAAAGCAGCAGGUUAACACCCCGCUGUUAUGACGGUACCCAAAGAAUCAGCACCGGCUAACUUCGUG